rnacentral:sRNA from 1 species
GGAUUUCAGCCAGGCUGUGCCAGGGAGGGCAGAGGGCACCCCGGAGGAGGCCCCACAGCCACUUGCAGGGAGCUGCUUUGCUGAGAAUCUCUGUCCUCUGCAUCUGGAGAGCUUGGCUCAGAGCUGAGGCAGGAGGGAGGGCUCCCUGUCUGGGCCUCCUCCAGGAACUAAAGUCCCUUUCCGGGAAUUGACCAAACUGCAGGCUUGCGCAGGGAGGACAUGCUGUGUCCUAGUUGAGCUCGAGGGGCAGUAUCCAGCUUCAACCCUCAGCGGAUGCCCCAGACAAGAUUCCGAGCCAGGCCAACAACGCCUAAGGAGGACGAGACCCUGGGUGCAGCUCAUCACAGGUGUCAGGCGUGGU